rnacentral:rRNA from 1 species
CCUGCCUGGUAGCGGGGGAUAACUAUUGGAAACGAUAGCUAAUACCGCAUAAGAGUAGAUGUUGCAUGACAUUUGCUUAAAAGGUGCAAUUGCAUCACUACCAGAUGGACCUGCGUUGUAUUAGCUAGUUGGUGGGGUAACGGCUCACCAAGGCGACGAUACACAGCCGACCUGAGAGGGUGAUCGGCCACACUGGGACUGGGACACGGCCCAG